AGGGGCAUAGUUUAAUGGCAGAACGAAGGUCUCCAAAACCUUUGGUGGGAGUUCGAUUCUCUCUGCCCCUG
rnacentral:tRNA from 1 species